rnacentral:rRNA from 1 species
GACGAACGCUGGCGGCGCGCCUAACACAUGCAAGUCGAACGAGCGAGAGAGAGCUUGCUUUCUCGAGCGAGUGGCGAACGGGUGAGUAACGCGUGAGGAACCUGCCUCAAAGAGGGGGACAACAGUUGGAAACGACUGCUAAUACCGCAUAAGCCCACGGGUCGGCAUCGACCAGAGGGAAAAGGAGCAAUCCGCUUUGAGAUGGCCUCGCGUCCGAUUAGCUAGUUGGUGAGGUAAUGGCCCACCAAGGCGACGAUCGGUAGCCGGACUGAGAGGUUGAACGGCCACAUUGGGACUGAGACACGGCCCAGACUCCUACGGGAGGCAGCAGUGGGGAAUAUUGCACAAUGGGGGAAACCCUGAUGCAGCGACGCCGCGUGGAGGAAGAAGGUCUUCGGAUUGUAAACUCCUGUUGUUGGGGAAGAUAAUGACGGUACC